AUUGAACGCUGGCGGCAUGCCUUACACAUGCAAGUCGAACGGCAGCGGGGACUUCGGUCCGCCGGCGAGUGGCGAACGGGUGAGUAAUGUAUCGGAACGUACCAUUGAGUGGGGGAUAACUAUCCGAAAGGAUAGCUAAUACCGCAUAUUCUCUCCGGAGGAAAGCAGGGGACCGCAAGGCCUUGCGCUCAUUGAGCGGCCGAUAUCAGAUUAGCUAGUUGGUGGGGUAAAAGCUCACCAAGGCGACGAUCUGUAGCGGGUCUGAGAGGAUGAUCCGCCACACUGGAACUGAGACACGGUCCAGACUCCUACGGGAGGCAGCAGUGGGGAGUUUUGGACAAUGGGGGCAACCCUGAUCCAGCCAUGCCGCGUGAGUGAAGAAGGCCUUCGGGUUGUAAAGCUCUUUCGGCCGGGAAAAAAUCGCAUGGGCUAAUAUCCUGUGUGGAUGAUGGUACCGGAAUAAGAAGCACCGGCUAACUACGUGCCAGCCGCCGCCGUAA
rnacentral:rRNA from 1 species